rnacentral:rRNA from 1 species
AGAGAGAGACAUGCGCGCAUAUCAAUAAGCGGAGGAAAAGAAACUAACUAGGAUUCCCUAGUAACGGCGAGUGAAGCGGGAAGAGCUCAAAUUUGAAAUCUUAAAGGGUUUCCCUUGACGAAUUGUAGUUUAAAGAAGUGUUUUCUGUUGAGGUUUUGGUAAAAGUUCUUUGGAAUAGGACAUCAUAGAGGGUGAGAAUCCCGUAUUUGACCAUUAUUUCCAGCUUUGUGAUACACUCUCAAAGAGUCGGAUUGUUUGGGAAUGCAGUCCAAAAUGGGUGGUAAAUUUCAUCUAAAGCUAAAUAUUGGCGAGAGACCGAUAGCGAACAAGUACCGUGAGGGGAAGAUGAAAAGAACUUUGAAAAGAGAGUUAAACAGUACGUGAAAUUGUCAAAAGGGAAGCGUUUGACACCAGUGUUGUUUUCUCGAAAAUCAAUUAAAAAAGGCAGGAUUUUGUGUUGUAUUGACUUUAUCAGCUUUCUGCACUCUUUUCUUGUCUUUUUUAAUGCACUUUUCGUUUAACAAGUCAACAUCAAUUUCUUUUGUUGUAAAAGGGUCAUUGGAAGGUGGCUUUCUUUUCGGAGAAAGUGUUUAUAGCCUCUUGCCUCUGCAGUCGGAGAGAUUGAGGUCUGCAGCGUAGAUCCUUCGGGGUUAAGAGCAUUUGUGCUAAGUUAUAGCCUUUCAUAGACAACUUGUUGACUAUGAUCAGUCAUGUAGCUUACUCGCUUAUGCUAUUUUACCUACGCUUAGGAUGUUGAUGUGAUACUGCGAGCA